rnacentral:rRNA from 1 species
GAUGAACGCUGGCGGCGUGCCUAAUACAUGCAAGUCGAGCGAACAGACGAGGAGCUUGCUCCUCUGACGUUAGCGGCGGACGGGGGAGUAACACGUGGAUAACCUACCUAUAAGACUGGGAUAACUUCGGGAAACCGGAGCUAAUACCGGAUAAUAUAUUGAACCGCAUGGUUCAAUAGUGAAAGACGGUUUUGCUGUCACUUAUAGAUGGAUCCGCGCCGCAUUAGCUAGUUGGUAAGGUAACGGCUUACCAAGGCAACGAUGCGUAGCCGACCUGAGAGGGUGGUCGGCCGCACUGGAACUGAGACACGGUCCAGACUCCUACGGGAGGCAGCAGUAGGGAAUCUUACGCAAUGGGCGAAAGCCUGACGGAGCAACGCCGCGUGAGUGAUGAAGGUCUUCGGAUCGUAAAACUCUGUUAUUAGGGAAGAACAAAUGUGUAAGUAACUAUGCACGUCUUGACGGUACCUAAUCAGAAAGCCACGGCUAACUACGUG